rnacentral:rRNA from 1 species
UACGUAGGGCGCAAGCGUUGUCCGGAAUUAUUGGGCGUAAAGAGCUCGUAGGCGGUUUGUCGCGUCUGCUGUGAAAACCUAAGGCUCAACCUUGGGCUUGCAGUGGGUACGGGCAGACUAGAGUGCGGUAGGGGUGACUGGAAUUCCUGGUGUAGCGGUGGAAUGCGCAGAUAUCAGGAGGAACACCGAUGGCGAAGGCGGCCUGCUGGGCAGUGGCUGACGCU